AUUGAACGCUGGCGGCAGGCCUAACACAUGCAAGUCGAGCGAGCGUCGGACGGGUGAGUAAUGUAUGUGGGCUCCCCGAUAGAGGGGGGUAACUACUGUAAACGGUAGCUAAUACCCCAUACUAUCGGAUAACCCAUAUGGGAUUAGCUAGUAGGUGGGGUAAGGGCUCACCUAGGCGACGCUCCCUAGCUGGUCUGAGAGGAUGAUCAGCCACACUGGGACUGAGACACGGUCCAGACUCCUACGGAGGCAGCAGUGGGGAAUAUUGCACAAUGGGCGCAAGCCUGAUGCAGCCAUGCCGCGUGUAUGAAGAAGGCCCUAGGGUUGUAAAGUACUUUCAGUCGGGAGGCGUUACCGACAGAAGAAGCACCGGCUAACUACGUGCCAGCAGCCGCGGUAAUAC
rnacentral:rRNA from 1 species